CGACCUGGCUCACACCGGUUUAAACUCAGAUCAUGUAAAAUUUUAAAGGUCGAACAGACCUAAAUCUUUAGCUUYUACACCAAAAAUAAAUUUUAAUCCAACAUCGAGGUCGCAAUCUUUCUUUCCGAUAAGAACUCUCAAAAAAAUUACGCUGUUAUCCCUAAGGUAAUUUUUUCUUGUAAUCUAAAUUCUAGGAUCAAACAUAUACAAAUAAAUAUCACUAUAAAAAAAAAGUUAAAUAAAUUUUUCCAUCACCCCAACAAAAUAAACACUACCAACCCUAGAAAUAAAACCCUAAAAUCUAGAGAUAAGUAUGAAUAUAAAACUCUAUAGGGUCUUCUCGUCUUCUAUGAAAAUUUAAGCUUUUUAACUUAAAAAUAAAAUUUUAAUUAAUUUAUAUAGAGACAGCCAUUUUCUCAUCAAACCCUUCAUACAAGCUUCCAAUUAAAAAACUAGUGACUAUGCUACCUUUGCACGGUCAGUAUACCGCGGCCCUUUAACUCUGCAGUGGGCAGGUCARACUUGAAAUUAUUAUCAACAAGCC
rnacentral:rRNA from 1 species